GUCUACAGUUGUACCACCUUGAAUGCACUCAGUCACUUCCGAUCCAGAAGCUAAGCAACGGAGCCUGGUUAGUACUUGGAUGGGAGGCCUACAAUUCCCUGAAUAUUUAUUAUUCAAGUCA
rnacentral:rRNA from 1 species